UACGGAGGGUGCAAGCGUUGCUCGGAAUUAUUGGGCGUAAAGAGUGGGUAGGUGGUCUCGUUUGUCUGGGGUGAAAUCCCUGAGCUUAACUCAGGAAGUGCCUUAGAAGCGGCGAGACUAGAGUCCUGGCGAGGAUCGUGGAAUUCCCGGUGUAGCGGUGAAAUGCGUAGAGAUCGGGAGGAACAUCAGAAGCGAAGGCGACGAUCUGGACAGGUACUGACACUAAACCACGAAAGCGUGGGGAGCAAACAGG
rnacentral:rRNA from 1 species